rnacentral:lncRNA from 1 species
UUCAUCAAUUAAUUAAAGAGGUAAAGGUGAAGAAGAGUGAAAAGUAGCAAGAACAAGUCACAAAUUGCUAUGGAGCAAUUAUGACAAGCCUUGAUUUAUGGCUUCCCACUAUACCCAAUCUCAAGUUUUGAUGUAGAUGAGAUUCCUUGAAGCUCCUUGAAAUCUCUUUGAGAAAUUGAUGAGGAUUUGAUGGAAUAUUGGUGAUGGUGGAUCUUGAUGAGGAGGUUCUUGGUGAGGAGGAAAGUGAAUCUUGGUAAGGAGAGAGAGGAUAGGGAAUGAUGGAGUGGUAUGAUGGAGAAGGAGAGAGAGAAUAAUGGGAUCAGGUCUUGGUGGUGGUAUGCGGCCGAAUUGGAAGAAUGAGAAUGAUUGGAAUUAAUAGUGUUCUCGGUGAUGUAGGGCUGG